GUGCAUGACACAAAAUGAACAGUAAAGUAAAUGACCAAACUGAUAUAUUAGAAUAACAUAAUGGAAUGUGUUUCAGUAAAAAGAACCAGCAACAAGGUUUGUUUAAGCUUUUGCAAAGUCAUAAACAGAAUUCUCCAGUAGAUAACAAUUUGACAAAAAAAAGAAUGAGGUUGGACAUAAUGUGUUAUAGUGACAGCUAGGAAAUUAGCGAAGAUACAAUAAACAAGAGGAAGAAAUAGGUGGAAAAACUCCACGGAACAGAAGAGCUCUGAAGAUGAGUCUAAAGGUCAGAGCAUGGUGGUGCAUGCCUAUAAUCCCAGCAGCCUAGGAGGCUGAGCAGGAGGACCAGAAGUUAAAAUCAGCCUCAGCAACUGAGGCCCUAAGCAACAUAGCAAGAACCUG
rnacentral:lncRNA from 1 species